AAGGGGACUAGUCCGGCGCAGGACGUGGGGCUGUUAGAGCCCAGCUGGUUCCGGCUGGGAAAAAUGGCGGUGGCUGGGGCGGCGUCCCGGGAGCAGCUAGUGGGCUGGUGCACCCAGCAGUUGCGGAAAACUUUCGGCCUGGAUGUCAGCGAGGAGAUCAUGCAGUAUGUUUUGUCAAUUGAGAGUGCUGAAGAGAUACGAGAAUAUGUUACUGACCUCCUUCAGGGAAAUGAGGACAAAAAAGGUCAAUUCAUAGAGGAGCUUAUAACCAAAUGGCAAAAGAAUGAUCAGGAAUUGAGUUCUGAUGCUUUGCAACAGUCCUUCAAAAAAGAUGAAAUGUCAGAUGGUCAGAAAUCAGGAGACCAGCUAAAGAGGAGCAGGCGGAAAGGAAGAAAUAGACAGGAAGUUCCUGCAUUUGCUGAACCUGACACAACCAGGGAGGUCAAAACACCUUUUGAUUUGGCCAAGGCACAAGAGAACAGCAACUCCUUAAAGAAGAAGACAAAGUUUGUCAGUUUAUACACAAAAGAGGGACAGGACAGGCUUGCAGUCCUGAUCCCUGGUCGCCAUCCAUGUGAUUGCCUGGGCCAGAAGCACAAGCUGAUCAAUAACUGUCUGAUCUGUGGGCGCAUCGUCUGUGAACAGGAGGGCUCUGGCCCCUGUUUUUUCUGCGGUACUCUGGUAUGUACUCGUGAAGAACAGGAUAUUUUACAGCGUGACUCUAAUAAGAGCCAGAAACUGCUGAAGAAGUUAAUGUCAGGGACGGAGAAUUCUGGAAAAGUGGACAUCUCUACCAAGGACCUUCUUCCUCAUCAAGAAUCGCGAAUUAAGUCUGGUCUCGAGAAGGCUAUUAAGCACAAAGACAAACUGUUAGAAUUUGACAGAACUAGCAUUCGAAGGACCCAAGUCAUUGAUGAUGAGUCAGAUUACUUUGCCAGUGAUUCUAACCAGUGGUUGUCUAAAAUUGAGCGGGAGACUCUGCAAAAGCGAGAGGAAGAGCUGAGAGAAUUUCGACAUAUGUCUCGGCUCUCUAAGAAAAUCACCAUUGACUUUGCAGGCAGGAAGAUCGUGGAGGAUGAAAAUCCACUAGCAGAGUAUCACAGCAGACUAGAUGAGACAAUACAGGCAAUUGCCAAUGGAACCUUGAAUCAACCAUUGACCAAAUUGAAUAGAUCUUCUGAUGAGCCUUUGGGAGUUCUGGUGAAUCCCAACCUCUACCAGUCCCCUCCCCAGUGGAUAGACCAAACAGGUGCAGCCUCACAGAAGAAGGCUUUCCAUUCAGCAGGAUCGGAACUAGAAUUCAACUCUUAUCGGCACCAGCUGCGAAUCCAGGACCAAGAUUUUCAGGAAGGCUUUGAUGGUGGCUGGUGCCUCUCUGUGCAUCAACCCUGGGCCUCUCUGCUUGUCAGAGGGAUCAAAAGGGUGGAGGGCAGAAGCUGGUACACUCCUCACAGAGGACGACUUUGGAUUGCAGCCACAGCCAAAAGACCCUCCCCUCAAGAAGUCUCAGAACUCCAGACUACAUAUCGUGUUCUUCGUGGGAAAGAUGUGGAAUUUCCCAACGACUAUCCAUCAGGUUGUCUUUUGGGCUGUGUGGACCUCAUUGACUGCUUGUCCCAAAAGCAGUUUAAGGAUCAGAAGGAAUACAAGUCCUAAGUAUUCACACAGAUUUGUGAUGAGAGAUCCAAAGGAGGCUUCUAAAUAAUUUUCAGAAUUGCUCUACCAGUUACCUUUUCACCCUAAUGUUUCACUCAAGUUAACCUGGGGGUGCCCAAUGUUCCCAAAGGAGACCUCCAAAUCUCCCAACUUUGUCAUUUAUACUAAAAGAACAGUCAGUCCUGAUUCUUCUGGAAAAAUAUCAGUAUCCAGACAUGAGUCAAGAAUCUGAUUCUCCGUUUGUUUUCAUCUGCACAAAUCCCCAGGAAGUGAUUGUGAAGUUUCCUAUUAAAGGAAAUCCAAAAAUCUGGAAACUGGAUUCCAAGAUCCAUCAAGGAGCAAAGAAGGGGUUAAUGAAGCAGAAUAAAGCUGUCUGACCCAGGA